AAACCCGUAAGGCGCAAGG
rnacentral:snRNA from 1 species